AUUGAACGCUGGCGGCAGGCUUAACACAUGCAAGUCGAGCGGGGGAAGGUAGCUUGCUACCGGACCUAGCGGCGGACGGGUGGGUAAUGCUUAGGAAUCUGCCUAUUAGUGGGGGACAACAUCUCGAAAGGGAUGCUAAUACCGCAUACGUCCUACGGGAGAAAGCAGGGGAUCUUCGGACCUUGCGCUAAUAGAUGAGCCUAAGUCGGAUUAGCUAGUUGGUGGGGUAAAGGCCUACCAAGGCGACGAUCUGUAGCGGGUCUGAGAGGAUGAUCCGCCACACUGGGACUGAGACACGGCCCAGACUCCUACGGGAGGCAGCAGUGGGGAAUAUUGGACAAUGGGGGGAACCCUGAUCCAGCCAUGCCGCGUGUGUGAAGAAGGCCUUAUGGUUGUAAAGCACUUUAAGCGAGGAGGAGGCUACUUUAGUUAAUACCUAGAGAUAGUGGACGUUACUCGCAGAAUAAGCACCGGCUAACUCUGUGCCAGCAGCCGCGGUAAUACAGAGGGUGCGAGCGUUAAUCGGAUUUACUGGGCGUAAAGCGUGCGUAGGCGGCUUAUUAAGUCGGAUGUGAAAUCCCCGAGCUUAACUUGGGAAUUGCAUUCGAUACUGGUGAGCUAGAGUAUGGGAGAGGAUGGUAGAAUUCCAGGUGUAGCGGUGAAAU
rnacentral:rRNA from 1 species